AGGACGAACGCUGGCGGCGUGCUUAACACAUGCAAGUCGAGCGGAAAGGCCCUUCGGGGUACUCGAGCGGCGAACGGGUGAGUAACACGUGAGUAAUCUGCCCCUAGCUCCGGGAUAGCUCCGGGAAACCGGGAUUAAUACCGGAUACGACCACCUUAGACAUCUUUUGUGGUGGAAAGAAUUUCGGCUAGGGAUGAGCUCGCGGCCUAUCAGCUUGUUGGUGGGGUAACGGCCUACCAAGGCGACGACGGGUA
rnacentral:rRNA from 1 species